GGAAGGUAGUGAGUUAUCUCAAUUGAUUAUUCACAAUGAAUUACAGAUUAAACUCCUUGUUCUACUCCUUUCUCCCUUCUCACUACUACACUUGUAU
rnacentral:Y_RNA from 1 species